GAUGAACGCUGGCGGCGUGCCUAAUACAUGCAAGUCGAGCGAACAGACGAGGAUCUUGCUCCUCUUACGUUAGCGGCGGACGGGUGAGUAACACGUGGAUAACCUACCUAUAAGACUGGGAUAACUUCGGGAAACCGGAGCUAAUACCGGAUAAUAUAUUGAACCGCAUGGUUCAAUAGUGAAAGACGGUUUUGCUGUCACUUAUAGAUGGAUCCGCGCCGCAUUAGCUAGUUGGUAAGGUAACGGCUUACCAAGGCAACGAUGCGUAGCCGACCUGAGAGGGUGAUCGGCCACACUGGAACUGAGACACGGUCCAGACUCCUACGGGAGGCAGCAGUAGGGAAUCUUCCGCAAUGGGCGAAAGCUUGACGGAGCAACGCCGCGUGAGUGAUGAAGGUCUUCGGAUCGUAAAACUCUGUUAUUAGGGAAGAACAAAUGUGUAAGUAACCAUGCACGUCUUGACGGUACCUAAUCAGAAAGCCACGGCUAACUACGUG
rnacentral:rRNA from 1 species